AAAAAAAAAAAGGCAUUCCAAACAGUUAGAGUUUUUAAAAAACUAAAAGUUAUUUAAGUGAUUUUUCUUUAAAGCUUGAAUAUUUGAUGAGCCCUUCAUGCAGGGCCCUGGGGUGGGGGCACAGCAGUGGGGGCAGCGGCUCCCCGGAGCUCACGCUCUGGGCAGCAGAGCCUGACGUUAAACCAGCUCUGACAUCACUAACUACCACUCUCGCAAGCUCGUGCUGAAAGGAAAGGGAUCUGAAGCUCAGGAAUCAUGAAGAUGGCCCCCUUCCACUGAUCCCUCAGUUUACCCCUGCAGCGCAUCUCCGUGCUGGUCUAGGUUGGUUCCAUUCUCCAGCAGCUUCAACAAGCUCUGGGCCUGCCCCCUGCCGGCUUCCAUGCUCCCAGCGGCCCCUGGAGAGAGGGCCUCCUUGUCAACAGAUGAAAGACCAGGGUCGUUGAGUCGCCCGCUGCUGGAGGCGAGGAUUUAACAGGAAGGCUCGGUGAUGCCGGCUGCGUUUCCUCGAUGUUGCGGGGCAGGCAGCCAACAGCCAGAAUCCUGCUCCACUCUCUGAGGCUGAGAGAAGUCAAAGCGAGACCCCACACCGUACCCCGCAGCCCCCGGAAGACCCGGAGGCCCCCAAGCUGGGGUGCUCCCCAUCUCACAUUGUGCCCUGGCUGCAGCCACACUGCCCAGGCGACACAACGUCAGGCCGAGAAUCUUUAGCGCUGGCUUCCUGCCCCAGGACCCAUCCCGGUCCCCAUCCGCGCCCCCCAGCCUCCGAGCAGCCGCAUGAGAAUAGACCCUGAUUGGGUUCUCUCCUCUGUUAGUCUCCAUCUUAUCUAUUUUUCUGUUGAAUAAAAU
rnacentral:lncRNA from 1 species